UCCUGGCUUGGGCAGGUGCAAGGAGG
rnacentral:piRNA from 1 species